AUGGUUUCUUCCUUCAUUCACCUUCUAUUUCUUGCACUUAUGUUCAUUUCUGCCAAUGGAACAAACCUCACACGCCCUAUGAAUUCCCCUCUUUCCUGUGACACAUAUGUUGCAUACUUUGCUCACUUUCCAAAAAUUUUAACCCUCACGAACAUAUCUGAUAUAUUUGACACAACUCCUCAAUCCAUUGCAAGAGCAAGCAAACAUAAAAGAUGA